AGUGAACGCUGGCGGUAGGCCUAACACAUGCAAGUCGAACGGCAGCACAGGAGAGCUUGCUCUCUGGGUGGCGAGUGGCGGACGGGUGAGGAAUACAUCGGAAUCUACUCUGUCGUGGGGGAUAACGUAGGGAAACUUACGCUAAUACCGCAUACGACCUACGGGUGAAAGCAGGGGACCUUCGGGCCUUGCGCGAUUGAAUGAGCCGAUGUCGGAUUAGCUAGUUGGCGGGGUAAAGGCCCACCAAGGCGACGAUCCGUAGCUGGUCUGAGAGGCGGAUCAGCCACACUGGAACUGAGACACGGUCCAGACUCCUACGGGAGGCAGCAGUGGGGAAUAUUGGACAAUGGGCGCAAGCCUGAUCCAGCCAUACCGCGUGGGUGAAGAAGGCCUUCGGGUUGUAAAGCCCUUUUGUUGGGAAAGAAAUCCAGCUGGCUAAUACCCGGUUGGGAUAACGGUACCCAAAGAAUAAGCACCGGCUAACUUCGUGCCAGCCGCCGCAGUAA
rnacentral:rRNA from 1 species